rnacentral:rRNA from 1 species
UUGGAGGGCAAGUCUGGUGCCAGCAGCCGCGGUAAUUCCAGCUCCAAUAGCGUAUAUUAAAGUUGUUGCAGUUAAAAAGCUCGUAGUUGAAUUUCGGAAUUUUUUUAUCGGUUGAAUCAACAGGUUCGUACUGAUUUUAAGAAUUUCUACCUUCUGGAGAACCUUAAUGUCAUUUAUUUGGUGUUUUGGGAAACCAGGACUGUUACCUUGAAAAAAUUAGAGUGUUUAAAGCAGGCUUAAGUCUGAAUACAUUAGCAUGGAAUAAUGAAAUAGGACGGAUUGGUUCUAUUUUGUUGGUUUCUAGGAUCACCGUAAUGAUUAAUAGGGAUAGUUGGGGGCAUUAGUAUUCAAUUGUCAGAGGUGAAAUUCUUGGAUUUAUUGAAGACUAACUUCUGCGAAAGCAUUUGCCAAGGAUGUUUUCAUUAAUCAAGAACGAAAGUUAGGGGAUCGAAGACGAUCAGAUACCGUCGUAGUCUUAACCAUAAACUAUGCCGACUAGGGAUCGGACGAAGUUAAUUUUUAGAUGACUCGUUCGGCGCCUUACGGGAAAC